rnacentral:rRNA from 1 species
GGCGCGGCUCCUGGAGCUGAUGAAGCCCGAGGCUGGGGUAUCGCAGGCCGGGCGGGUGGUGCCGCAGGGCAGUCACCUACACGACUUGCACAGCGC